rnacentral:rRNA from 1 species
GACGAACGCUGGCGGCGUGCUUAACACAUGCAAGUCGAACGGAAACGCCCUGCAUUUGUGGGGUGCUCUGAUGGCUAACGGGUGAGUAACAAGUGAGUAACCUGCCGUUGACUUUGGGAUAACUUCUGGAGACUAGGGCUAAUAACGGCUCGGAGCUCCGGCUGCAUGGUGGGGUUGGCAAGUUUCGGCGGUGGGGGAUGGACUCGCGGCUUAUCAGCUUGUUGGUGGGGUAGUGGCUUACCAAGGAUUUGACGGGUAGCCGGCCUGGGAGGGUGACCGGCCACAUUGGGACUGAGAGACGCCGCAGACGCGUACGUGGGGCAGUGGGGGGGAAUAUGGCGCAGUGGGGCGAAGCCUAAUGAAGCAACGCCGCGGUCGGGAAGUCGGCCUUCGGGUUGUAAACCGCGUUCGCUUGAGACGAAUCGUGAUUGACGGUAAUGGGUAAAGAAGCACCGGCUAACUACGUG